rnacentral:rRNA from 1 species
GACGGAGGAUGCAAGCGUUAUCCGGAAUUAUUGGGCGUAAAGCGUCCGCAGGUGGUGAUUCAAGUCUGCUGUCAAAGCGUGGAGCUUAACUUCAUAAAGGCAGUGGAAACUGAGUAACUAGAGUUUGGUAGGGGUAGAGGGAAUUCCUGGUGUAGCGGUGAAAUGCGUAGAUAUCAGGAAGAACACCAGUGGCGAAGGCGCUCUGCUGGGCCAAAACUGACACUGAGGGACGAAAGCUAGGGGAGCGAAAGGG